CCCGCUGAACUUAAGCAUAUCAAUAAGCGGAGGAAAAGAAACUAACAAGGAUUCCCCUAGUAACUGCGAGUGAAGCGGGAAAAGCUCAAAUUUAAAAUCUGACAGUCUUUGGCUGUUCGAGUUGUAAUCUGGAGAAGCGUCUUCCGCGCUGGACCGUGUACAAGUCUUCUGGAACGGAGCGUCAUAGAGGGUGAGAAUCCCGUCUUUGACACGGACUACCAGUGCUUUGUGAUGCGCUCUCAAAGAGUCGAGUUGUUUGGGAAUGCAGCUCCAAAUGGGUGGUAAACUCCAUCUAAAGCUAAAUAUUGGCGAGAGACCGAUAGCGAACAAGUACCGUGAGGGAAAGAUGAAAAGCACUUUGGAAAGAGAGUUAAACAGUACGUGAAAUUGUUAAAAGGGAAACGAUUGAAGUCAGUCGCGUCUACUUGGACUCAGCCUUACCUCGGUUUGGUGCAUUUCCUUGUGGACGGGCCAGUGUCCAUGUUGAUUGCUGGAAAAGGUUCAGGGGAAUGUGGCUCUUUUAGAGUGUUAUAGCCUCUGUUCAUAUACAGUAGUUGAUAUGGAGUGAUACAGCAUGCUUCGGCGGUGCUUGUACUGGCAUAAUGGCUUUAAACGACCCGUCUUGAAACACGG
rnacentral:rRNA from 1 species